AUGGCGGUACGGGAUGGUGCUAUAUUCGCAAGCUUAAGAGGUUUUUCAAACGUCAUCUUGGAGACGGACUGCCUGGAGGUCGCCAACCUCUGGACCACUUGCCACGACUCUCGCUCGACCGUGGCUCCUAUUUUAUUAGAGAUUGGAGAGCUUACUGCUAGUUUUAAUUCCUUUACUAUUCGUCAUAUUGUAAGAUCAGCUAAAGGUCCUGCUCACAUCUGUGCUAAGCAUGCUUGCACAAUCGAUGUGACUGAUAGCUGGAUCGAAUGUACUCCAAGCUUCCUGAUCAGUAGCCUGUUGGCGGACUGCUCAGUGAACGCUUUUAUCAAAUAA
rnacentral:rRNA from 1 species